rnacentral:lncRNA from 1 species
CUAUUUUUUUUUCUUUUUCAGAACCACAUAAAAAAGAAAAAAUAAUGGAAUCUGGAAAAACAACAAAGAAAGAAGCAAAAGUACAUGCAGGACUUGAAAAAAAAGAAGGAAAAGCAACAAAGGCAGCAGUGCAAGGUAAAAAUAAAACAAAACACAUUGGCAUUAUCUCUCUUAAAGCACAAUGGCACAGAAACAAUAA